rnacentral:rRNA from 1 species
UACGAAGGGGCUAGCGUUGCUCGGAAUCACUGGGCGUAAAGGGUGCGUAGGCGGGUCUUUUAAGUCAGGGUGAAAUCCUGGAGCUCAACUCCAGAACUGCCUUUGAUACUGAAGAUCUUGAGUUCGGGAGAGGUGAGUGGAACUGCGAGUGUAGAGGUGAAAUUCGUAGAUAUUCGCAAGAACACCAGUGGCGAAGGCGGCUCACUGGCCCGAUACUGACGCUGAGGCACGAAAGCGUGGGGAGCAAACAGGAUU